GGCUGCAACUCGCCUACAUGAAGUUGGAAUCGCUAGUAAUCGCGAGUCAGAAUGCCGCGGUGAAUACGUUCCCGGGUCUUGUACACACCGCCCGUCACACCACGAGAGUUUACAACACCCGAAGUCAGUGGCCUAACCGCAAGGAGGGAGCUGCCUAAGGUGGGGUAGAUGAUUGGGGUGAAGUCGUAACAAGGUACC
rnacentral:rRNA from 1 species